rnacentral:rRNA from 1 species
GAACCCUACGGGGGACAGCAGUGGGGAAUAUUGCACAAUGGGCGAAAGCCUGAUGCAGCAACGCCGCGUGAAGGAAGAAGGCCUUCGGGUCGUAAACUUCUGUCCUUGGGGAAGAAGAACUGACGGUACCCAAGGAGGAAGCCCCGGCUAACUACGUGCCAGCAGCCGCGGUAAUACGUAGGUGGCGAGCGUUAUCCGGAAUGAUUGGGCGUAAAGGGUGCGCAGGCGGUCCUGCAAGUCUGGAGUGAAACGCAUGAGCUCAACUCAUGCAUGGCUUUGGAAACUGGAGGACUGGAGAGCAGGAG